AACGCACGAGACCUGCGGACCUGCGGAGGGAUCAUUACCGAGUUCUCGCCCCUCGCGGGGUAGACCUCCCACCCACUGUGAUCACUACCGUCGUUGCUUUGGCGGGCCGCUGGGCCCAGCCCACCGCCGGCUCCAGCUGGCGCGUGCCCGCCAGAGGCCCUACAAACGCUGGAUAUCAGUGCCGUCUGAGUACACAUGUUAAUCGUUAAAACUUUCAACAACGGAUCUCUAGAUCGGAAG
rnacentral:misc_RNA from 1 species